rnacentral:rRNA from 1 species
AGAGUUUGAUCCUGGCUCAGGAUGAACGCCGGCGGUGUGCCUAAUACAUGCAAGUCGUACGCACUGGCCCAACUGAUUGAUGGUGCUUGCACCUGAUUGACGUUGGAUCACCAGUGAGUGGCGGACGGGUGAGUAACACGUAGGUAACCUGCCCCGGAGCGGGGGAUAACAUUUGGAAACAGAUGCUAAUACCGCAUAACAACAAAAGCCACAUGGCUUUUGUUUGAAAGAUGGCUUUGGCUAUCACUCUGGGAUGGACCUGCGGUGCAUUAGCUAGUUGGUAAGGUAACGGCUUACCAAGGCGAUGAUGCAUAGCCGAGUUGAGAGACUGAUCGGCCACAAUGGAACUGAGACACGGUCCAUACUCCUACGGGAGGCAGCAGUAGGGAAUCUUCCACAAUGGGCGCAAGCCUGAUGGAGCAACACCGCGUGAGUGAAGAAGGGUUUCGGCUCGUAAAGCUCUGUUGUUGGAGAAGAACGUGCGUGAGAGUAACUGUUCACGCAGUGACGGUAUCCAACCAGAAAGUCACGGCUAACUACGUGCCAGCAGCCGCGGUAAUACGUAGGUGGCAAGCGUUAUCCGGAUUUAUUGGGCGUAAAGCGAGCGCAGGCGGUUGCUUAGGUCUGAUGUGAAAGCCUUCGGCUUAACCGAAGAAGUGCAUCGGAAACCGGGCGACUUGAGUGCAGAAGAGGACAGUGGAACUCCAUGUGUAGCGGUGGAAUGCGUAGAUAUAUGGAAGAACACCAGUGGCGAAGGCGGCUGUCUGGUCUGCAACUGACGCUGAGGCUCGAAAGCAUGGGUAGCGAACAAAAUUAGAUACCCUGGUAGUCCAUGCCGUAAACGAUCAGUAAAAAGGUGUUGGAAGGGUUUUCCGCCCUUCCAUGCCGGAACUAACGCAUUAAGCACUCCCGCCCGGGGGAGUACGAACGAAAAGGUUGAAACUCAAAGGAAUUGACGGGGGCCCGCACAAGCGGUGGAGCAUGUGGUUUAAUUCGAAGCUACGCGAAGAACCUUACCAGGUCUUGACAUCUUGCGCUAACCUUAGAGAUAAGGCGUUCCCUUCGGGGACGCAAUGACAGGUGGUGCAUGGUCGUCGUCAGCUCGUGUCGUGAGAUGUUGGGUUAAGUCCCGCAACGAGCGCAGCCCUUGUUACUAGUUGCCAGCAUUAAGUUGGGCACUCUAGUGAGACUGCCGGUGACAAACCGGAGGAAGGUGGGGACGACGUCAGAUCAUCAUGCCCCUUAUGACCUGGGCUACACACGUGCUACAAUGGACGGUACAACGAGUCGCAAGCUCGCGAGAGUAAGCUAAUCUCUUAAAGCCGUUCUCAGUUCGGACUGUAGGCUGCAACUCGCCUACACGAAGUCGGAAUCGCUAGUAAUCGCGGAUCAGCAUGCCGCGGUGAAUACGUUCCCGGGCCUUGCACAAAGCGCCCGUCA